ensembl:ncRNA F54D8.8 ncRNA
UCACAAAACACUAUUUAUAUUGGAGUAGACGAAGAAGAGGAUGAAACGGAAGGAAGAUUGAGAUGAAGAAGAAGAAGAAGAA